rnacentral:rRNA from 1 species
GACGAACGCUGGCGGCGUGCCUAAUACAUGCAAGUCGAACGAACGGACCAGGAGUUUGCUUGUCUGAUGUUAGCGGAGGGGGGGAGAGUCACACGUGGAUCACCUACCUCAAAGACUGGUAUAAUUACGGGAAAGCGGAUCUUAUACCAGAUGAUCUUUUGCACCGCGUUGUUCAAACGUGAAAUACGGUCUUUCGGUAGCUUAUCGCUGGCUCCGGGCUGCAUGAGCUGGUUGGUAAGGAACAGGCUUAGCAAGGCUAGGAUGCAUAGCCGACCUGAGAGGGUGGUCGGCCACACUGGAAGUGAGACAGAGUCCAGACGCCUGAGGGAGGCAGCAGUAGGGAAUCUUACGCAAUGGGCGAGAGCCUGACGGAGCAACGCCGCGUGAGUGAUGAAGGUGUUCGGAGCGGAAAACUCUGUUAUUAGGGGAGAACAUAUGUGUAAUUAACCGUGCCGAUCGUGACGGUACCGAGUCAGAAAGCCACGGCUAACUACGUG